rnacentral:misc_RNA from 1 species
UCUCCGUUGGUGAACCAGCGGAGGGAUCAUUACCGAGUUUACAACUCCCAAACCCCAAGUGAACCUUACCAAACGUUGCUUCGGCGGGAUGCCCCGGGCGCGGGCCGCAAGGCCUCAGCCCCGGAACCAGGCGCCCGCCGGAGGCCCAAACCAAACUCUUGUUUUUGUAGAAUCUUCUGAGUGGCCUUUUAGGCAAAAAAUGAAUCAAAACUUUCAACAACGGAUCUCUUGGUUCUG